rnacentral:rRNA from 1 species
AACGGAAAGGCCCGCUUGCGGGUACUCGAGUGGCGAACGGGUGAGUAACACGUGGGCAACCUGCCCUCAGCUCUGGGAUAACUCCGGGAAACCGGUGCUAAUACUGGAUACGACUGCGCAUCGCAUGGUGUGUGGUGGAAAGUUUUUCGGCUGAGGAUGGGCCCGCGGCCUAUCAGCUUGUUGGUGGGGUAAUGGCCUACCAAGGCGACGACGGGUAGCCGGCCUGAGAGGGCGACCGGCCACACUGGGACUGAGACACGGCCCAGACUCCUACGGGAGGCAGCAGUGGGGAAUAUUGCGCAAUGGGCGAAAGCCUGACGCAGCGACGCCGCGUGAGGGAUGACGGCCUUCGGGUUGUAAACCUCUUUCAGCUCUGACGAAGCGAAAGUGACGGUAGGAGCAGAAGAAGCACCGGCCAACUACGUGCCAGCAGCCGCGGUAAUACGUAGGGUGCAAGCGUUGUCCGGAAUUAUUGGGCGUAAAGAGCUCGUAGGCGGUUUGUCGCGUCGAAUGUGAAAACCCGGGGCUCAACUCCGGGCCUGCAUUCGAUACGGGCAGACUAGAGUUCGGUAGGGGAGACUGGAAUUCCUGGUGUAGCGGUGAAAUGCGCAGAUAUCAGGAGGAACACCGGUGGCGAAGGCGGGUCUCUGGGCCGAUACUGACGCUGAGGAGCGAAAGCGUGGGGAGCGAACAGGAUUAGAUACCCUGGUAGUCCACGCCGUAAACGUUGGGCGCUAGGUGUGGGGGUC